GCAUUCUUAGUGUAGCGGUUAUCAUCCCAGCCUUCCAUUUCGAGAGAAACUGAACAGCUGGGGACCGGGGUUCGACUCCCCGAGGAUGCA